rnacentral:rRNA from 1 species
AUUGAACGCUGGCGGCAUGCCUUACACAUGCAAGUCGAGCGGCAGCACGGGAGCAAUCCUGGUGGCGAGUGGCGAACGGGUGAGUAAUAUAUCGGAACGUGCCCAGUAAUGGGGGAUAGCCCGGCGAAAGCCGGAUUAAUACCGCAUACGACCUACGGGUGAAAGCGGGGGAUCGCAAGACCUCGCGUUAUUGGAGCGGC